CAGUCGCCGCGGUAAUACGAAGGGGGCUAGCGUUGUUCGGAUUUACUGGGCGUAAAGCGCACGUAGGCGGAUCCUUAAGUCAGAGGUGAAAUCCCAAGGCUCAACCUUGGAACUGCCUUUGAUACUGGGGAUCUCGAGUUCGGGAGAGGUGAGUGGAACUGCGAGUGUAGAGGUGAAAUUCGUAGAUAUUCGCAAGAACACCAGUGGCGAAGGCGGCUCACUGGCCCGAUACUGACGCUGAGGUGCGAAAGCGUGGGGAGCAAACAGGAUUAGAUACCCCGGUAGUCCCUGUCUCUUAUAC
rnacentral:rRNA from 1 species